rnacentral:rRNA from 1 species
GCUACCAUGCAGUCGAGCGGAUGAAGGAGCUUGCUCCUGGAUUGAGCGGCGGACGGGUGAGUAAUGCCUAGGAAUCUGCCUGGUAGUGGGGGACAACGUUUCGAAAGGAACGCUAAUACCGCAUACGUCCUACGGGAGAAAGCAGGGGACCUUCGGGCCUUGCGCUAUCAGAUGAGCCUAGGUCGGAUUAGCUAGUUGGUGAGGUAAUGGCUCACCAAGGCGACGAUCCGUAACUGGUCUGAGAGGAUGAUCAGUCACACUGGAACUGAGACACGGUCCAGACUCCUACGGGAGGCAGCAGUGGGGAAUAUUGGACAAUGGGCGAAAGCCUGAUCCAGCCAUGCCGCGUGUGUGAAGAAGGUCUUCGGAUUGUAAAGC